rnacentral:rRNA from 1 species
AUUGAACGCUGGCGGAAUGCUCUACACAUGCAAGUCGAACGGCAGCACGGACUUCGGUCUGGUGGCGAGUGGCGAACGGGUGAGUAAUGUAUCGGAACGUGCCCAGUCGUGGGGAUAACGUAGUGAAAAUUACGCUAAUACCGCAUACGAUCUAGGGAUGAAAGCGGGGGAUGGCAAGACCCCGCGCGAUUGGAGCGGCCGAUAUCAGAUUAGGUAGUUGGUGGGGUAAAGGCCCACCAAGCCAACGAUCUGUAGCUGGUCUGAGAGGACGACCAGCCACACUGGAACUGAGACACGGUCCAGACUCCUACGGGGAGCAGCAGUGGGGAAUUUUGGACAAUGGGCGAAAGCCUGAUCCAGCCAUUCCGCGUGCAGGAUGGAGGCCCUCGGGUUGUAAACUGCUUUUGUACAGAACGAAAAGGUUUCUACUAAUACUAGGAGCUCAUGACGGUACUGUAAGAAUAAGCACCGGCUAACUACGUGCCAGCAGCCGCGGUAA